rnacentral:rRNA from 1 species
AGAACGAACGCUGGCGGCAUGCCUAAUACAUGCAAGUCGAACGAACUCUUCGGAGUUAGUGGCGCACGGGUGCGUAACGCGUGGGAAUCUGCCCCUUGGUUCGGAAUAACAGUUGGAAACGACUGCUAAUACCGGAUGAUGACGAAAGUCCAAAGAUUUAUCGCCAAGGGAUGAGCCCGCGUAGGAUUAGCUAGUUGGUGAGGUAAAGGCUCACCAAGGCAACGAUCCUAGCUGGUCUGAGAGGAUGAUCAGCCACACUGGGACUGAGACCACGGCCCAGACCUCCGUACGGGAGCAGCAGUAGGGAAUAUGGACAGUGGGACGAAGCCUGACUCAGCAAGUCGCCGCGUGAGUGAGUAGAAGGUCCGUUAAGGGUUA